rnacentral:lncRNA from 1 species
CUUCCUCCUUUGAUCUUGUACAGUACGAAUAUGUUUGUGUCUCAUUUGUGUUGGGUUCCUACAUACAAAGUUUAAAUAGAAUGCAACAUACUAAAAUAUACUUAUUAAUCCUACUCCUACAAAGUCUAAAUUAAAAUUAUCUAAAAAUUAAUACAAGUCUUUUAUAAAAUUAAAAAUAGUUCAAUCAUCUUCCACAUCGCCUAUCUCUUCAUCCCCG